rnacentral:tRNA from 1 species
AGGGCUGUAGCUCAGUUGGUAGAGCACCUCGUUUACAACCGAGAAGGUCUACGGUUCGAUCCCGUAUAGCCCUA